UUAGCACUUUGUUUCCAUUGUUUUAUCAGCUAGGUAAGCUGGUUAUACUUUUCUGUGGUUUUCAUUAAUGAUAAAGUGCUACUGGAUUUUUUCAUUAAGCUUUUCCUAAAUAUCUUUCUGAGUGGUCAUGGCCAGUUGCUACACUCAUUUCUUAGUUAGACCCAAUACCAAUGAAAGAAAAGUAUUGCAUUAGUAACUAAGUUAUGUGUUUGUGGUAUAGCAAGAAAAUAGGAUCCCAAGCCCUGGACAUUGAUUGGGUCCCUUCCUUUUCCCACCAGCCUAAGAUAGGGGGCCAAGCUUCUGGGCUCUGCUGUGCCCAGCUUCUGGGCUCUACUGGAUUUUUCACUGCACAGGUCCGUAAACCUGAAGUGUGCCUCUGCUAGGAAAAGGGACUUUCCCAGAAGUCAUAUCCAUUCUAAUAUCAUGCAUUAUUCGUUUUGUUUUUUGGUGCUGGAGAUUUUUGCUCAUGCAUUGCAUGUACUGUACCACUGAGUUAUACUUCCAGCCCUAACACCAUGUGUUCUUAAUCCCAUAUGAAUCCUCUUUGUGCUGCCUGUGUACUAUUUCUAU
rnacentral:lncRNA from 1 species